UUGGAUUUUUGGAAGACGAACUACUGCGAAAGCAUUUACCAAGGAUGUUUUCAUUAAUCAAGAACGAAAGUUAGGGGAUCGAAGAUGAUUAGAUACCAUCGUAGUCUUAACCAUAAACUAUGCCGACAAGGGAUUGGCGGUUGUUCGUUUUGACUCCGUCAGCACCUUAUGAGAAAUCACAAGUCUUUGGGUUCCGGGGGGAGUAUGGUCGCAAGGCUGAAACUUAAAGAAAUUGACGGAAUGGCACCACAAGAUGUGGAGCGUGCGGUUUAAUUUGAC
rnacentral:rRNA from 1 species